AUUAGAGAAGAAAUAACAGGCGCAACUGAACAUCCUCCAUCCAACAGGACAUGAUUCUUGGGAGGGGGAGGGGCAAGACCCUCCAUACAGUCUUUGCUUGCCUGCUUGGUUCCUGCGGCACAACCUCCUGCGCACCUGUGACUCAUCCACUACUCGAGACUCUGCAGUGUAUCUACCCUAGCUUUUCACUCCAGUCUUUGCCAGGUUCUACACUCACCUGUGAUCUCACUCUGCCUGCCAUGCAUCUCUCUGGUCUUCAAUUUUGCUCAUCUCACUUCCAAUCCAUUGGGUUACUCCUAAAGUUCAAAGUAAACUAAAUUGAUUUCUCUGUUCUUAACACUACCUUCCUGCAACCAGAUCAUGACUGACGGGAUGUCCGUUCUCAUGCAAUGUUAUUUUAACUUUCAAGAUACGUUAAAAUAAUUUGUUGCAUUUGGACAGAACAGAUAGAUGAAGAUUGGUACAAAAAUUGUGUUAAAGACUGGAACAAAACUAUACUGUCUGUAAAUUAGAUGCAAGUAAGACUAAGGUCUUUAGUCUUUUAGUUUCACUGUGUUAAACUGGUGGUAACAGCAGAAAGUGCUGCACCAAUGUAUCAUUAAUUAUAUCUGUACUUAACCUGCAGUCAAAAUGUUUGCUGUCACUAGGAUCUAUCAUGUUUCACAGAUUUUGCAAAAUACCUGUUAAUUAUAGAUACAUAUAACAGAACUGAGAUUACACAUUGCCAUGCAUAUUGUCUGCAGUUGCCACACUUCCUCAUGCUGUUCAGCUCUUCAGUUAUUUCAGUGAACGAUAGCGGACACACUUUGGCCAGCAGUCCAUAGUCAUGCAUUGUUAUCAUACAUUUAUUUUUGAUUUAUAAAAUGUUUUACCUACUUAGCUAAUUCAAAAGAUCAUAUCACAGUGCAGGGUUUUGUACUAUUUGAAUUUCUGAGUAAAUGUUUGAAGAUACACACCAAGUAAAUCUAAAUACCACAUGCAUGGACUCACUCUGAA